ensembl:misc_RNA 7SK 7SK RNA
GGAUGUGAGGGUGAUAUGGCCAUGACAUCUGUCACCCCAUAGAUCUCCAGGGUUGAUUCCGCUGAUCUGGCUGGCUAGGCGGGUGUCCCCUUCCUCUCUCACCGCUCCAUGUGUGUCCCUCCCAAAGCUGCGCGCUUGGUCGAAGAGGACGGCCUUCCCAGAAUAGAGACGGACAGGCAGGUGUUCCGUCGAGGGUAUUGAGGGUAUCGGAGUAGCUGCGCUCCCCUGCUACAACCUCCAAACAAGCUCUCAAGGACACCAGUUGAGACCUGGCUGAGCCUGUGAACCCACAUUCCCAGUGAAAAUGCUCACAGGCUGCAGCAGUU